GUAAAACAGUUGGAGGUAAGCUCACAGCUGAAUUGGGCUGGAUUUACUUCUGAGCUAGGCUGAGAGGCUUUCUGAGGAACUAACUGAUUGUGGUGGCUGAGAAAGAAGAACCUAUUUUGUAUCUCUGUGACUUACCUGGCUGAUUAGAAGAAGAAAGAAGUCAGACAGUUGUCCUCUUAUCUUUCUGACAGACUUUGUGUCACAGUUGUGACAGAACUUCCAUUUCCCCAAUAUCCUCAAAACCAAGUCUCCUUGUAGAGAACAGGGAAACCUACUCCUCUUACCUUAUCCUCUACCCUUGCCUUGUCUUCCCCAAAUAAACCCCUUACUUGAGAAAGAAAAGAGUAUCUUCUCUAAAUCUCAUAGUUUACCCUGAGUGACUAGAAGGGAAGGGGGAGAGGAAGCUGAAGGCUUCUGAAGUGGGAGGUAAAGGGAGGAGGGUAGGUAAAAACUUGAUCCAUUAGUCAUCUAGGAUAUCAAUCAAUAGACACCCUCAGGAAGUAUCUAUUACAGAUUAUCACUCUAUUACAAUUGGCACCCUUAAAACAGACUGAACCCCACAAUCCUUAGAAACAACAAAGAAAGAAAGAUGUUUAAGCAGAUUAUCUAUGGAGUUGUGGUUGUGGCAGUUAUUGCUUGUUUCUGGGUCUACAACAUACUCUAUAGUAAAAUGACCCACAUGAUCUUUGACUCUCUUGAUUACAUAGGCAACACAACCAUGUCUAUAUUGCAGUUACCUUUUCAAACUGAACCAAUACUCUGGCAAAUCCUGGCUCAAGUUUAUGUGAUCUUUAUGGCUGUCUUACAAACUCUAACCUAUUUGAGAAAGAUCUUUAGAUUUGUGAUCCCCAAAAGGCAGAAAAGAUACUAGUUAUUGAUAACAACCUGGAAAACAUGAUUAAGAACUUGUUUGAGGAAUUGAUCAAGGAAAAAGGGCUAGACCAGGUUAAGGGCAAGGACAAUGGACAGCAUUACCUAAGGGAAAUGAAGGUGACAAUGACACCAAGCCUGACAGUGAACCAGAAAAGAUUUGUCCACUAAAGGAGGUCACCAAGCUAUCAACUACAACUGGUGUAUUACAGUCUAAAGUCCACAGGCAAUUUACCUCACAGGAACUUGAAUCUCUAAAGAAACAUUUCCCAAAUUUCAUAGAACAACCUUUCAAAUCUCAAACGGAACUGAAACGUGCUUUUAGGAUUUUUGACCCUGAUCUUGAGGAUGUAGAGUUUCUCCUCUCAGAACUGUUUAGCCCCCAUGAGCAAAGAAAAUUCCUAGAAAAGACCAGGACUGAUAGUAGCCUGACUAGUUGGCCAACUGUGGAGCAAAGGGAAGAUCUAGACUUUGCUAACCCCACUAGCACAUCAUAUCUGAGAAAAUGCAGGGAAGAUUACUCCAAGUGAUUAAACAGUGCUGCUCCAAGCCAAAUGCAUGGGCUAGGUUUGAUAAGAUCAUGCCGGACAAAGGGGAACAUCCUGCCACAUACAUUGACUGUCUGUCAGAAAUGGCAGCAUCAAUAUUAGGUCUAGAGACAAAUAGUGAAGAGUCUAUAAAUCCUGUCCGGAGGCAGUUUUUAAGAGGAUGCACACCUCAUUUAAAGAACUUCUUUAAGCACUAUUUAUUUCUCUAAGUAUGACAUGGUCAGUCUCAUUGAAUUUCGUGAAACAGCAAGUUACUUGCAAGAUAAUCAGUCAGAACAAAAUAAACAUGCAAGACUUAAAAGACAAACUAGAAAUGACAGAGAAAAAUCUAAAAGAAAAGGAGAUAGAGGAAAUCAAGAAACUAAACAUGAUUAGGACUUACACAAAAUCUAGUUACACAAAACCAAAACCAGUGCAGAGAGAAACUAGAGAGCCUAGACAAUGCUUCUUCUGCCACAAGAGAAGUCACUUGAUAAAAAACUGUUUUUUGAAGAAGAAACAUGAAAUUAAAAAGAACACACAAAAUUCACAAACUAGAUACAUAAAGUCCACUUGCUGUUCUCAUUGCACGAUAAAGUCUACUAAGCAAGCGAAUGAUUUACAAGAGAUGCAAAAAGCCAUUAACUCUGGAGCUAAACCUAAGUACUCAGAUAUGGUUAGAAAAGAAUUAUGAAGCCAGGCCUUUAAAGUAUAUAGUGUAACAAAAGAAAUAGGGGAAAAGAGGCUGCUGUUAAGAUUAGGAAAAAGUUGGGAAAUGGUGAAAAUUCAGUGCAAGAAAGUGAAUCUGUGUGAUAGUACAUGCAAUAAAGCAAGAGAAAGGCAGAAACAAAUAAGAGAAACAGAUGUAGAAAUAAAAGAAAUCAUUUCUCAAAUUUAGAAAUUAGAAAUGAGAAAAAAUUAGAAAAAAGCUGCAUAGCAACAACACAGGAACCACACAGGAAAAAAAGUUUAAAUGAAAUCAAAUCUUUGUUAGAGAGUUUUUUUCAAUGUAGAUUGGGCCAAGGGAUUGAAUUUUGUACAAGUAAAAGAAAAGGACAAAGUCACAAGAAAUUCAAAUAGGAGUUAGUGAGACAUACAGAGGAACAAAAUUUCAAAUCCCUACUGGUUACUAUUACUCAAGAAGAAAAUGCUUUGAAACCAUUCACAAAUUUGCAUUACAUCCCACCAAACUCACUUAAUUCAUCCAAUAGCUACAUGGCAAAGGUACCCUUAGAAAAAACAUCUAAUUUGAAUCCAGAAGCUGAAAUCUUCCAUCCAUCAAUGAGUGAUUUAGAUAAUACAAAAUUAACUGAAAAUGGAGCUGAAAUUACAUUUGGAAACAAUAAUCCUAUUCAAAAUAAUGGAGGUGACAUGACAGUUGAAUUUGAAAAGGGGGAUGGAAUUUCCAUCUUAGUAACUGACAGAAUAACCAAGGAUUCAGAUGACAGACUUGAAGUCAACAUUCUAAGUGGCAGAGGGGAAUCUGGUCAAACAAACUUAUGUGAGAUAAGCAACAGCUAUGAUUUAGAUUCAUGUUCCAAUGUAGUAGAGGAUAUUGUAAAUUCAACCUCUUGUGAAGACUUCAUAGGAAAUGUAUCAAAUCAAAAAGAAUGAACUGAGCCACAUAUGCAGCUGGCAGAGGGUAGCAAAGGAGUGUACUAUGAUUCAGUGGCUAUAAACACCUUAGCUACAAAGCUAGAAACAGAUGUAUAUAGUAUUGUGGAAAAGAAUGAAAGCACACAUCCUACUGAUGAUGAAGGGGAACAUGCUGAUGCACUAAACUUAUUCCCAGAAAAUAAUAACAUAGAGGGAAAUGUUCCUAUCUCUACAGAGUCAAAAGAGGAGAAAAAUGAACAUAAACCUCAGCCUGGUGAUAGAGUAGUAUCUAUGGAAAGAGUGCUGACUCUGGAGUCAAAGAAGCUCAGUAGAGGUGUGCUGGUGGCAGGUCAUUCCAGCUCUCAAAAGCUGGUUAUUAAAUUUUCAGUGUGAUUAACAGAUAAAUGCUACAAAUCAUUGCUUGAUCUGUUGUUUUGUUGAUUGUCUAGACUUAAGAAAAUGAUGGAUGAAAUGUUAAUAAUGCAUAUUAAACUCAGUUUGUCAUUUGUAUUUUUUUAAGAGAGCUAAUAAUUAAACAUUAACUAUCACAUGUCUGUCCAGGAUGAAAUCCUGGCUGUAUUACUUGCAAAAGCCCUUUAACCUCUAUAGAUAUAAGUUCCUAUAAAAUACUCUGUAGAAAAAAUCCGGAAAAUAAGAUGGUUGGACUAUAAGUUCUAAUGUCUCUUCUAGCUCUAAAUGCUUCAGAAUUGCAAUGGAGUGAAUGUUUCUUGACUGAAGAGUGGAAAAUUGGAAUGCCAUUUUUAGAACCCACAUUUGUACUGUCAGUUACAAUCUUUAGAAAGAACUAGUGGGAUUUAGAAAGCAUUUUAUGUGAGAAUGUUAUUGUAGUAUUGCUAUACUAUAUUUAAAGAAAUAAUGCACUAUUUACUUUUCCUUUCAUUGAUUUUUAUACCACAGAAUGUAACUCUUUGAAAAAUACUAUUUGUUUAGUCAUUUAGGUUGUGCCCAACUCUUUGUGACCCUAUUUGGGGUUUUCUUGGCAAAGAUACUAGAAAGGUUUGUCAAUUUCUUUUCCAGCUCAUUUUAUAGAUGAAGAAACUGAAACAAAAGUGUAACGUGACUUGCCCAGGGCCACACAGCUAGUAAGUGUCUGAGACCAGGCAGAUGUAUCUCUGACUGACUCAGGCUCAGCACUGUAUUCACUGUAUCACCUAGCUGUUCCCCCUCCCCAAUACUAUUAGUAAGAGACAAUUCAUGAGAGCAUUAGAAAGAACUCAGUUAUGUUUUAUCCAUUGGAACAAUAUUGUAUGAUUCUGGAACUAGUCAUAUGACAGUAACUUUGAGGUUAUGUAAUACCUCUUUGCUUCUUCUUUGGUUUUGAAUUUUAAAAUCCUCAUAGUACCCCUGGGUGAGAAGGAUUUCCUUAUUUCAUAGGGCAUUUAUGGUGAUGAUCACUUACAAUGAUCACUGAUUUGAGAAAUGGUCUAAGUUCUAAUGGGUGCUGAGAGUGAAGAUGGAAUGAUUGCAGUAUCAUGGGGCUGGUAGUAUUGAUGUUUGCUCUGCUAAUUGUACUUAAUUUACUGUGAAGUUUUUUUUUUUUCUCCAACAACUCCUGUUGCUCUGAGUAUACAGUGCUACUGGGCAGAGAUAUUCCAGUGGGAGAAUUCAUCAGCUAAAUAACACACGACGAUCAUUACGGGAAUCAUCCAAUAAUCAUUUUUAGGUUCAUAGAAUGUUCUACAUAUAUGAGCUCAUUUGAUCCUCACAACAACCGAGGAAGUUGCUGUAGUAACAGAAUAACCAACCUUUACAAGUCUACUACAAGGGAUAACCAAUGGAAGGAAUGCUAUGGUGAAAGAAUGACCAGAGAGCACAUUGAGGACUCAACAUCAAUUUCCAUUAAAAACAGCUACUCCUCUCCAGUAAGGUCCACAUCACCACCAAUUCAUCCAGUACAACCCAUGGCUCACAGCCAUGGCUUCAUUCUUGAAUUUAGCGGUGCCUCUUGCAAGCAGCUUUGUGAACACAGAUCACUUGCUUGCCUUUUCCCCAAAGAUCAGUGUAAGGGAUGGGAUAAAAGACAAUUAAUUCAAUCGGACAUGGGAAAGGCAUCCUGAUCUGAAACCUAGGGGUCUCUGGCGUUUGUUGGAAGAUUUAUUGCUGUGUGUUUCAAGAUAGCCAGGCUGAGCAUCCCUGAGUAAUUAGGAUUCAAUGCAUUGGCUGAUGGGCAUUGACCUCUCUUUUGUGAGCUCUCUAAAGUGUCUGAGCAGAGAUCCUUCCCCUCCCACCACACCUUUUCAGCAAUAUCCUGGCCGAUACUUUAUGGCAUGUUGCCAUGACAUAAAGCUUGCAUGAACUGCAUUACCGUGCUCCUAGCCCCAGGCUACUGGAAGAAAUUGUAAGCUUUCAAAGUUUAAGCUAAAUAAUAUGCUUUUAAUGAGAUCAUGUGCAUUGCAGAUCAAAAGUAUCAUCAAAAGGUAAAAAGUUCAAAAAGCUCCUUCCAUGCACAGUGAGGUUGUCCAAAGAAGCUUUCAUGAUCUUUGUGAUCAGAUUUCUAAAAGUGUUUUUAAGUCUCCUUUACAAAAUAUUGCAUUGUAGCAAAGGUUUCUCCUUUGAUUUUCAUCAUUCAGGCAUAAGAAACAUUAAGUGUAAUUUCAUGAAUUUAUACUUAUGGGGGUAAGAAGAAUUUGAAAUCCUCUGUUGCCUUCUAUAUGAGAAUCAGAAAGCACUUAAUGAAUGUUACCCAGGCUGCUUGACAACUUGGGGUGCUGUACACCUAAGGAAGCAGCCCAGUAAGAGAGGAAGGCCUCCUACGAAUAGCUGACGAUUGAUAGGGAGGAUGGUUACCGGUAACCAGACAGUGCUGUAUUUGCAGGCAGAAGAUCUAGAUUUGAAUCCCUCAUUUGCCACUUAUUACCUGGAUGCCCUCACUGAGAUUUAUCUGAAAGAUGAAAGGAGUUUGAUUCAGAUGAUCUCUAAGGUCCCUUAUAGCUCUAGACCUACAGGCCUCUGAACAAACCACGCAUGUGAAGGCCACCAGAGCUCUCUGGUGGGACCGUAGGGGAGGUGGCACUGGGACGGAUAAUGGGCCAAGGAGAAGCCAGGUGAGCCAACUAAAGACCAACUUCACUUACUUCAUAGCUUUGCCUAGAGUGUGGAACCUUAGCCCCAACCCUUCUUCAGAAUGCACGUCUAAGGUACUUAACUCUGAAAGGCCAGUAGAUAGUUAAUCCUUCAAACAGCUGGGAUGGAACAUGGGCUGCCUGAAGAGGUAAUACUUUAUCUAUUUCAGUUAAUUAACUAAUUACACUCAGAAGAUUUUGGAUGGUUAAAUUCAAAGAGCCAAAAGGAAUUCAGCAAAAGUAAUCCUUUCCUUCAAGACCUAAGUUUGAAAAUUUAUGAGAUGGCUCAAGUGCCAUAUAGGUAUCUGCAAUAGCAAAUGAAAGGUGAUUUGAGUGGAUCAGUUGCAGGGGUUGCUUAGAGUGCUAGUCUCCAAUUCAGGUGGGCCUAGCUUUACACACUGACUCAGACAUUCACUAGCUCUGGGCUUUGGAAAAAUCACUUUAUCUCCCUGUGAUUUUGUUUCCAUUUCUGCAAAAUAAAAGGAUUGGAUUAGCUGAUCUCUAAGUUCUUGACCAACUCUAAAUCUAUGAUCUUAGCACAUGAACAAAGGUCAUACAGGACUUGAAUAAAUUUCAAUCUAUGUUAAUGCAUCAUCCCUUCCUCCUUCUUCUCCUUCUCCUCCUUCCUUCUUUCCCCUCUCCCUCCCUUCCUCCCUCCCUUCCUCCCUCCCUCCCUUCCUUCCUUCCUUCCUUCCUU